rnacentral:rRNA from 1 species
AGUGAACGCUGGCGGCAGGCCUAACACAUGCAAGUCGAGCGGCAGCGGGUUCCCGCGAGGGGAUGCCGGCGGGCGGCGGACGGGUGAGGAACACAUCGGAAUCUGCCUGGUUGUGGGGGAUAACGUAGGGAAACUUACGCUAAUACCGCAUGCGACCCUGAGUCGACGGACUGGGGGUGAAAGUGAGGGACCUUCGGCCUCACGCGACCAGAUGAGCCGAUGUCGGAUUAGCAGUUGGCGGGGUAACGGCCCGCCAAGGCGACGAUCCGUAGCUGGUCUGAGA